GACGAACGCUGGCGGCGUGCUUAACACAUGCAAGUCGAACGGAAAGGCCCUGCUUUUGUGGGGUGCUCGAGUGGCGAACGGGUGAGUAACACGUGAGUAACCUGCCCUUGACUUUGGGAUAACUUCAGGAAACUGGGGCUAAUACCGGAUAGGAGCUCCUGCUGCAUGGUGGGGGUUGGAAAGUUUCGGCGGUUGGGGAUGGACUCGCGGCUUAUCAGCUUGUUGGUGGGGUAGUGGCUUACCAAGGCUUUGACGGGUAGCCGGCCUGGGAGGGUGACCGGCCACAUUGGGCCUGAGAUACGGCCCAGACUCCAACGGGAGGCAGCAGUGGGGAAUAUUGCACAAUGGGCGGAAGCCUGAUGCAGCAACGCCGCGUGCGGGAUGACGGCCUUCGGGUUGUAAACCGCUUUCGCCUGUGACGAAGCGUGAGUGACGGUAAUGGGUAAAGAAGCACCGGCUAACUACGUG
rnacentral:rRNA from 1 species